rnacentral:rRNA from 1 species
UCAAGCUAUAAAGAGUACAGGGAGAAUGCCUUGGCAUCAGGAGCCGAAGAAGGACGUGACAAGCUGCGAUAAGCUGCGGAGAGGAGCAAAUAUCUUAGGACCCGCAGAUUUCCGAAUGGGGGAACCCGGUUGGGCAAUACCCAAUCACCGUAUACUGAAUACAUAGGUAUACGGGGGGAGACCCGCUGAACUGAAACAUCUAAGUAGGCGGAGGAAGAGAAAGAAAAAUCGAUUCCCAAAGUAGCGGCGAGCGGAAUGGGAAGAGGCCAAACCUGAGGUAGCAAUAUCACAGGGGUAGAGGACUGUAUAAUCGAUUCAUGAGUGAUAGCCGAAUAACCUGGGAAGGUUAUCCAAAGAGGGUGAAAGACCCGUAGGCGAAAUUGCGAGUGACGAGACAGGAUCCGGAGUACCACCGGACACGAGGAACCCGGUGGGAAGCAGGGGGGACCACCCCCCAAGCCUAAAUACUACCUGAUGACCGAUAGAGGAAAGUACUGUGAAGGAACGGUGAAAAGAACCCCGGGAGGGGAGUGAAAUAGAACCUGAAACCCUGUAUUUACAAACAGACAAAGCAAUUUAAGGUGCGAUGUCGUACUUUUUGUAGAACGGUCCGGCGAGUAUAUUUAUGCAGCGAGGUAAAGGUGUUAAGCACAAGAGCCGAAGGGAAACCGAGUGUUAAUAGCGCGAAUAGUUGCAUGGAUAUGACCCGAAACCGGGUGAUCUAGCCAUGGACAGGAUGAAGCCGGAGUAAAGUCCGGUGGAGGUCCGAACUCACUGCUGUUGAAAAAGUAGGAGAUGAGCUGUGGCUAGGGGAGAAAUUCCAAUCGAACCCGGAGAUAGCUGGUUCUCCCCGAAAUAGCUUUAGGGCUAGCCUCGGAUUAGUCCGGCGGAGGUAAAGCACUGAAUGAGGUAGGGGCCGAUAAGGUUACUGAACUCUAUCAAACUAAGAAUGCCGCACAGAUGAUGUCCGGGAGUCAGACUAUGGGAGAUAAGUUUCAUGGUCAAAAGGGAAACAGCCCAGAUCUACAGCUAAGGUCCCAAAAUAGAUUUAAGUGGAAAAGGAUGUUCGAUUGCUAAAACAACCAGGAUGUUGGCUUAGAAGCAGCCACACAUUAAAAGAGUGCGUAACAGCUCACUGGUCGAGUGGUUGGGCGCCGAAAAUUCAACGGGGCUAAAAUCUAUACCGAAGCUUAGGCAGUAAUAAUACUGGGUAGGGGAGCGUCGCAAGGUAGGAAGAAGCGGUACUGUAAGGAGCCGUGGACGAGAUGCGAGUGAGAAUGCCGGAAUGAGUAGCGCGAAUUAUGUGAGAAUCAUAAUGGUCGAAAACCUAAGGUUUCCUGAGGAAGGCUCGUCCACUCAGGGUAAGCCGGGAGCUAAGGCGAGGCCGAGAGGCGUAGUCGAUGCACAUACGGUAGAGAUUCCGUAGCCACCGAAAUUGUUAAGCAGGGGGACGCAGGAGCAUAGCCUGACCGCACGGAUGGAAGAGUGCGGCGAAAGGGAGCGAAAACUAGUAGCGAAGCAGGUGAUUGCACACUGACGAGAAAAGCCCUGUGGAUUGAUAAGGUGCCCGUACCGUAAACCGACACAGGUGGGUGAGGAGAGAAUCCUAAGACCGACGGGAGAAAUGUUGUUAAGGAACUCGGCAAAAUGACCCCGUAACUUCGGGAUAAGGGGAGCCUCGAAAGAGGUCGCAGAGAAUAGUCCCAAGCGACUGUUUAGCAAAAACACAGGUCUAUGCUAAGUCGAAAGACGAUGUAUAUGGGCUGACGCCUGCCCGGUGCCGGAAGGUCAAGGGGAAUGCUUAGCGCAAGCGAAGGUGUGAACUUAAGCCCCGGUAAACGGCGGCCGUAACUAUAACGGUCCUAAGGUAGCGAAAUUCCUUGUCAGGUAAGU